CUUUAGGACAUCCGGCUCGCCCAGCCCGGUGUCGUAAAGGCGGUCGGGUCUCGGUCCAGGGUUGGAGCAGCUAUGGCGGCGCUUUGCGGGGCUGCCCGAAGGUGGGGUGCCGGCACUUGGCUGCGGCCCAGCGGUGAGACAACUUUGAUGGUGACAUAUGAGGAAAGUUGAUCAAUGAAGACCUCCCUCGUCCUCUUGAGUCUUGUUGUAACAAGAGACAGACCAGUCUGCAAACUGAACUGUGGCUAAUUUGGCCUGAAUCUGCCAAAGACAAGUCCCCGUCCAAAUUGGUGCUAAUGAUGCCCUGCUGUGUCUGCAUAGUAGUCAAGAAAAGCAUUACAAAAUGAUGACCUGGGAACAGUUUUUGAAGUUAUACAUGCUCAGAUAUGGUUUCUAUAGGGUAGGCCUGAGAAUCAAACUUUUCAAAAUUGAAUGCUUCAGUAAAGAAUCGAGUCU